UACAGAGGUCUCAAGCGUUGUUCGGAUUCAUUGGGCGUAAAGGGUGCGUAGGCGGCGCGGUAAGUCGGGUGUGAAAUCUCGGAGCUUAACUCCGAAACUGCAUUCGAUACUGCCGUGCUUGAGGACUGGAGAGGAGACUGGAAUUUACGGUGUAGCGGUGAAAUGCGUAGAUAUCUGGAGGAACACCGGUGGCGAAGGCGGCAUCCUGGACCGGUAUUGACGCUGAUGCGCGAAAGCCAGGGGAGCAAACGGG
rnacentral:rRNA from 1 species